rnacentral:rRNA from 1 species
UACGUAGGUGGCGAGCGUUGUCCGGAAUUAUUGGGCGUAAAGAGCGUGUAGGCGGGUAAUUAAGUUUGUUGUGAAAUAACGGAGCUUAACUCCGUGAUGUCAAUGAAAACUGAUUAUCUUGAGGACAGGAGAGGAAAGUGGAAUUCCCAGUGUAGCGGUGAAAUGCGUAGAUAUUGGGAGGAACACCAGUGGCGAAGGCGAUUUUCUGGACUGUAACUGACGCUGAGACGCGAAAGCCAGGGGAG